rnacentral:rRNA from 1 species
CCUACGGGUGGCAGCAGUGAGGAAUAUUGGUCAAUGGGCGGAAGCCUGAACCAGCCAAGUCGCGUGCAGGAUGACGGCCCUAUGGGUUGUAAACUGCUUUUGUACGGGAACAACAGGCCUUACGCGUAGGGUUUCGCGAGUACCGGAUGAAAAAGCAUCGGCUAAUUCCGUGCCAGCAGCCGCGGUAAUACGGAGGGUGCGGGCGUUAUCCGGAUUUAUUGGGUUUAAAGGGUGCGCAGGCGGAAGUUCAAGGGAGCGGUAAAAUUUAGAGGCUCAACCUCGCCGUGCCGUGGAAACUGGCGUGCUUGAGUGAGUGGGAAGCAGGCGGAAUGCGUGGUGUAGCGGUGAAAUGCUUAGAUAUGACGAAGAACCCCGAUUGCGAAGGCAGCAUGCUGGAGCGGAACUGACGCUGAUGCACGAAAGCGUGGGUAUCGAACAGGAUUAGAUACCCUUGUAGUC